GAUCCUGGCUCAGGACGAACGCUGGCGGCGUGCCUAACACAUGCAAGUCGAACGGAACUGUUUUGAAGAUUUCUUCGGAAUGAAUUUGAUUUAGUUUAGUGGCGGACGGGUGAGUAACGCGUGAGUAACCUGCCUUCAAGAGGGGGAUAACAUUCUGAAAAGGAUGCUAAUACCGCAUGACAUAUCGGAAUCACAUGAUUUUGAUAUCAAAGAUUUUAUCGCUUGAAGAUGGACUCGCG
rnacentral:rRNA from 1 species